GCCUAGAUAGCUCAGUUGGGAGGGCAUUAGACUGAAGAUCUUAAGGUUCCCGGUUCGAUCACGGGUCUGGGCA